rnacentral:rRNA from 1 species
AUUGAACGCUGGCGGCAGGCCUAACACAUGCGAGUCGAGCGGAUGAAGGGUGCUUGCUCCUGGAUUCAGCGUCGGACGGGUGAGUAAUGCCUAUGAAUCUGCCUGGUAUUGGUUUAUAACAUCCUGAAACGGGCGCUAAUACCGCAUACUUCCUGAGGGAGAAAGUGGGGGAUCUUCGGACCUCACGCUAUCAGAUGAGCCUAGGUCGGAUUAGCUAGUUGGUGGGGUAAAGGCCUACCAAGGCGACGAUCCGUAACUGGUCUGAGAGGAUGGUCAGUCACACUGGAAGUGAAACACGGUCCAGACUCCUACGGGAGGCAGCAGUGGGGAAUAUUGGACAAUGGGCGAAAGCCUGAUCCAGCCAUGCCGCGUGUGUGACGAAGGUCUUCGGAUUGUAAAGACCUUUAAGUUGGGAGGAAGGGCAGUAAGUUAAUACCUUGCUGUUUUGACGGUACCAACAGAAUAAGCACCGGCUAACUUCGUG